rnacentral:rRNA from 1 species
AGAGUUUGAUCAUGGCUCAGAUUGAACGCUGGCGGCAUGCCUUACACAUGCAAGUCGAACGGGAUCCUGGCUUCGGCCAGGUGAGAGUGGCGGACGGGUGAGUAACGCGUGGGAACCUGCCCAUUGGUCUGGGGAUAACUGCGGGAAACUGCAGCUAAUACCGGAUGUACCCGAGAGGGGAAAGAUUUAUCGCCGAUGGAGGGGCCCGCGUCAGAUUAGGUAGUUGGUGAGGUAACGGCUCACCAAGCCUACGAUCUGUAGCUGGUCUGAGAGGAUGAUCAGCCACACUGGGACUGAGAUACGGCCCAGACUCCUACGGGAGGCAGCAGUGGGGAAUAUUGGACAAUGGGGGCAACCCUGAUCCAGCAAUGCCGCGUGAGUGAUGAAGGCCUUAGGGUUGUAAAGCUCUUUUACCAGGGACGAUGAUGACGGUACCUGGAGAAUAAGCCCCGGCUAACUUCGUG